rnacentral:rRNA from 1 species
GAAUGCUGACAUAAGUAACGAUAAAGCGGGUGAAAAGCCCGCUCGCCGGAAGACCAAGGGUUCCUGUCCAACGUUAAUCGGGGCAGGGUGAGUCGACCCCUAAGGCGAGGCCGAAAGGCGUAGUCGAUGGGAAACGGGUUAAUAUUCCCGUACUUGGUGUUACUGCGAAGGGGGGACGGAGAAGGCUAUGUUGGCCGGGCGACGGUUGUCCCGGUUUAAGCGUGUAGGUGUGUGUUCCAGGUAAAUCCGGUUCACUUUAACACUGAGGCGUGACGACGAGGCACUACGGUGCUGAAGCAACAAAUGCCCUGCUUCCAGGAAAAGCCUCUAAGCAUCAGGUAACAUCAAAUCGUACCCCAAACCGACACAGGUGGUCA